rnacentral:rRNA from 1 species
AGUGAACGCUGGCGGCGUGCCUCAUACAUGCAAGUCGAAGGAAGUGGCGCACGGGUGAGUAAUAUAUAGCUAAUCUGCCCCUUGCUGGAGGACCACAGUUAGAAAUGACUGCUAAUACUCCAUAGGAAGGGAUGAGACUAUAUCGUAUCAGCUCGUCGGUGGGGUAACGGCCUACCGAGGCUAUGACGCGUAACUGGUCUGAGAGGAUGAUCAGUCACAUGGGAACUGAGAUACGGUCCAAACUCCGAGGGGAGGCAGCAGUAGGGAAUAUGGCGCAAUGGGGGAAACCCUGACGCAGCAACGACGCGUGGAGGAUGACACUGUUCGGAGCGUAAACUCCUUGUGUGAGGGAAGCGGUACCUAACGAAUAAGCACCGGCUAACUCCGUGCCAGCAGCCGCGGUAAUAC